rnacentral:lncRNA from 1 species
AUUUUAAGAGUCGCGGCCCCUCCACUAACCAAGUAUUUUUGUGUUCUCUUUAGUUUUUAAGUCUUAAUUAGGAUUCCUUUAAAAUAUGCAACAAUAAUCUAACUGCUGUUUCCAAAAUAAAUAAAGUUUGAAAUCAGAGUUUUAUACGCCACUUGCAUAUGUUUAUCAUGGUGAUGCAUGCAUGCAUGGAUCAUAUCUAGAGAUUUAUGGUUGGAUUUUUAACAUUUUGAUAUGUUGAUAUUAAUUUUUAAAAGGUCUAAACAAUAAACAACACUUAUUUAAUAAACUCGAUAUAAUCAAUAUAUACAUGCAGAUCUUGGCACUUAUAGCAGGAGUUCCCAUUGGUGGCACACUGCUAACUCUAGCUGGGCUCACUCUAGCCGGCUCGGUGAUCGGCUUGCUAGUCUCCAUACCCCUCUUCCUCCUCUUCAGUCCGGUCAUUGUCCCGGCGGCUCUCACAAUCGGGCUUGCUGUGACGGGAAUCUUGGCUUCUGGGUUGUUUGGGCUGACGGGUCUGAGCUCGGUCUCGUGGGUCCUUAACUACCUCCGUGGGACAAGUGAUACAGUGCCAGAGCAAUUGGACUAUGCUAAGCGGCGUAUGGCUGAUGCGGUAGGCUAUGCUGGUAUGAAGGGAAAAGAGA